UUUAGGGAGACCCGACUCAAUUCAAAAGUAAAAAUUCAAAGUUCAAAAACAAGAAAGAGUUUUUGGAAAUUUAGAAUUAUAAAACUUUGAAUUGGUUUUAUCCCGAGGUCGGUCGUAAGGUAAGUGUAAGCUUUCAAACUAUAAGUUAGGUUCGGAUAUGGGCUAUUAGCUCAGGUGGUUAGAGCGCACCCCUGAUAAGGGUGAGGUCCCUGGUUCGAGUCCAGGAUGGCCCACCUGAAAACAGUGAACAGUGUGCAGUAAACAGUGGUCACGAAAAAAUGAUAACUGUGAACUGAUAACUGUGAGCUGAAAUUUAGGGGGGUAUAGCUCAGUUGGUAGAGCGCCUGCUUUGCAAGCAGGAUGUCAGGAGUUCGAGUCUCCUUACCUCCACCUGCGCCCUAAGUAAUUAACUUUUGUGGUUCCAUCUUUGUUGAGUGUACUCAAAUAGCAGCAAAGGCUAGAGUGCAGGCAAGUGAGAAAAGCAAAAGCAAAAUGAUCAUCCGAUAAUUAAUUGGAUAAGAUUCAGCAUCUUGUGAUAUAAGCAAGAAUGCUGGGGUAUUUCCAGCAAAAGAACCUUGAAAACUGCAUAGAAACGCGAAAAAUGUCAGGUAGUUAACUGUUUAUAACAGUUAAAACUCCAAGCAAAAAGCAAUGAUUGUUUGU
rnacentral:tRNA from 1 species